rnacentral:rRNA from 1 species
UGGGGAAUCUUAGACAAUGGGGGAAACCCUGAUCUAGCCAUGCCGCGUGGACGACGAAGGCCUUAGGGUUGUAAAGUCCUUUCGCUGGGGAAGAUAAUGACGGUACCCAGUAAAGAAGCCCCGGCUAACUCCGUGCCAGCAGCCGCGGUAAUACGGAGGGGGCUAGCGUUGUUCGGAAUUACUGGGCGUAAAGCGCACGUAGGCGGGCUGUUAAGUCAGAGGUGAAAUCCCAGGGCUCAACCCUGGAACUGCCUUUGAUACUGGCAGCCUUGAGUUCGAGAGAGGUGAGUGGAACUCCGAGUGUAGAGGUGAAAUUCGUAGAUAUUCGGAAGAACACCAGUGGCGAAGGCGGCUCACUGGCUCGAUACUGACGCUGAGGUGCGAAAGCGUGGGGAGCAAACAGGAUUAGAUACCCCCGUAGUCC